CCUACGGGAGGCAGCAGUGAGGAAUAUUUGUCAAUGGGCGCGAGCCUGAACCAGCCAAGUAGCGUGAAGGAUGACUGCCCUACGGGUUGUAAACUUCUUUUAUAAAGGAAUAAAGUGAGGCACGUGUGCCUUUUUGUAUGUACUUUAUGAAUAAGGAUCGGCUAACUCCGUGCCAGCAGCCGCGGUAAUCCGGAGGAUCCGAGCGUUAUCCGGAUUUAUUGGGUUUAAAGGGAGCGUAGAUGGGUUGUUAAGUCAGUUGUGAAAGUUUGCGGCUCAACCGUAAAAUUGCAAUUUAAACUGGCAGGCUUGAGUACAGUUGAGGUAGGUGGAAUUCGUGGUGUAGCGGUGAAAUGCUUAGAUAUCACGAAGAACUCCGAUUGCGAAGGCAGCUUACUAAACUGCCACUGACAUUGAUGCUCGAAAGUGUGGGUAUCAAACAGGAUUAGAUACCCUAGUAGUC
rnacentral:rRNA from 1 species